rnacentral:rRNA from 1 species
ACAGGAACAAAGUUAUCCCGGUAGCGGCCUUAAGUUCCCCCCCCUUUAACUCGGAAGAUCAUGCAAGCCCCCGCCGACCGCGGGGAUUUAAAGGGUUUUUUUUCCGAGUCUGUUGCUCCGGCCUUUCCGAAUUUUUCGGGGGCUCUUGGUGGACACUUCAAACUCUUGCGUAACUUUGCAGUCUGAGUAAACUUAAUUAAUAAAUUAAAACUUUUAACAACGGAUCUCUUGGUUCUGGCAUCGAUGAAGAACGCAGCGAAAUGCGAUAAGUAAUGUGAAUUGCAGAAUUCAGUGAAUCAUCGAAUCUUUGAACGCACAUUGCGCCCCUGGUAUUCCGGGGGGCAUGCCUGUUCGAGCGUCAUUUCACCACUCAAGCCUCGCUUGGUAUUGGCAGGGGUCCGCCGCGUGCCUCAAAUCGACCGGCUGGGUCUUCUGUCCCCUAAGCGUUGUGGAAACUAUUCGCUAAAGGGUGCUCGGCGCUACGCCGUAAAACAACCCCAUUUCCUCAAGGUUGACCUCGGAUACAGGUCACGGAUGGACCAGCGCGCAGAGCUUUUUCUUUUUC